AUUUUUCAAUUAAAAUGAAGAACUGUUUUUGUGUGUUGCAGGUACAUUUCACGCAGUUGCCUUGUGGGACUUUGAGAGAUGCUGCAGCCCGUGACAUGUGGGAAUUAUCAUGAUCAACUACUCAGUUUGGAUUUCACCCAGUGGCCAAGAGCCUUGCAUACUAAAUAGCAAGGGUUGGAUUUUUAAAAAGAGUGAACCAGCUUUCUUUCUGAAAAUGAAGUGAAUGAAACUCAGUAUAUUACAGCCUAAAAUAACUGUUCGGAUGUACACAAGGACUUCCAAAGUGUUUGAAAACAAUCCAUUCGGUAAUGCUUUAACAAACACCUCUUUCUAAUACCUAAUGUCUUAUGUGUCUAUAAGAACAUCUUAAACCCAGAUUUGAAAUGUGUUGGAAAUACUGUAGAUUACCAAACUCAUGGUACAAGUCUUUAUUUGAUGAACUGAACUAGUGGAUAACUUUUAGUCCUUUUUAGUGACAAAGGGGGUCACUGACAUUGAGAAGAGGUUUACUGGUGCACGAAUAAAAGGGGA
rnacentral:lncRNA from 1 species